UCAGAACUCGGAGUCGGGACAACUCAACAAGGGAACGAGGAGCCUCAAGGGAGAUACCUGCAUAACACUGGAUGCAGUGAAGAAGGAAUCAGAAAUGUUCUUAUGUUUUAGUGGCGGAAUGGCAAGGCGUCCGGUUAGAUGACCUGGGUCCGUGGCGAGUUGGUGGCUCUCGACUACAAGAAGAUCAUUGAGGCAAUCGAUAGUAGGUUGGUAAAUUGCUAACAAAACAUGUUUAGAACUACAAAAUUGGCUUUGUUCUGCUAUUUAUUUAUUUUUUGACUAAAAGUAGCAAUUUUUGCUUCCGUAUUAAGAUUUCAACAAGAAUCUAUAAAGGGCUCUAAGGGAGUAGAGGAAUCAAAAGAAAACACCUGACAGUGCAAAGUGCACUUAGGCAGUAAGGUCAACACAAGACUACUCAUGAAACGCCUCCAUCAGGAGGCCAAAAUAUACACAUACGAACUCCCGGACAUUGCAUACCGGGGAGCUUUCUUCUAUUUAGGAUUUAAGGUACUCGAUCAUUUGUUCUAAGUUCAGUAUUAAGUUAAUUUUUGUUCUGAAUGAUUAUAAACACAAUACAUGUUGGUCUAAGAAAAGACUUUUUUAAUUUGUAAUCCCUGUGUAAUACCAAUCGAUUUUGUUUUUUGCACAUCUAGGCUGAUAAUAUGCUCACGAAAAGACAGGAAUGCAGCACCACUCCAAUCUUUAGAAGGUCCCCACCCUGUUCUGGUAUGUUUAUGCUUAUGCAUCUACAGAAUUAUUCGAUGUUAUAUUGAUGUGUGAAUGGUGUAUCCCUGUUCUGGUAUGAAAAUCGGGUUGCUAGGAAUAAUCUCCAUCAUUCCUGGGUUGUGCAUAUGUGUUGUUCUAUAUUCCCCUCUUUAUAAUGCUAUGUGUUGUGGUAAACGCUCCCAAGCUAUGAUAGCUCGCUGAUGGUAGGUUGCCGCCCUGGCCCCCACAUGCUACCAGCAUGUGUUACUGUACAUUUUGCUUUCUUACAUGUCCUGAAUUAUAUUUCAAGGAAGAUGACUAUGAUUUAUAAGCACACGAACACAUCACAAUGUCACAUGGUAAUGCCAUGUGAUGGCAAUCUAGGGUCAUUUCUGUUAGAGAAGCCCCCUACCCCCUAGCCCUAGAUAUGCGAAUUCUGAGCGUCACCACGAAUAAGUGCAGAGGAAUAGUGGGUAGACCGCGAACCCUAAAUUUCUAGCAAUUCUGAAUACAUUCAUGUGCCAAUGAGGUGUCCAUGUAAUCAUGAUGUUAUAUUAGAUUUUUUAUGUUGUUAUUUCUUGCCCUGGUAGUACAACUAUGUAUACAAAACUCCAACACUGCUAGCGAAGUGGCUUUCCUUCUAACUGUUUGUCCAGGAAAGUACUAUUUAUCUCGGAUAGGGUGUGCUAAUCAUUGAACAACUUACAUACCUUUUCAGUGAUGAAUGUGGAUAAAGACGAAGCAGAGAACAUAAUAUCUUGGUGAAGGCAUCUCAACCGAGAUGAGACAUUGUUUAUUUAUUUAUGUCAUAUCCUACUCAUAGUCUGUUGUUCUGUGAGCAAUUGUUUGUUUUUUAACAGCUUACCAUUGAUAAUGAAUCGUGUAUGGUGGCUUUGUUAAUAUUCAAGUAGUAUUACAUAUUAGUAAUAUUGAAUGCAUGUUUUUUUGUGGUUUACUUAUGACUAGGUGCUUGUCAAAAAAUAAAAUUGAU
rnacentral:lncRNA from 1 species